rnacentral:rRNA from 1 species
UACAGAGGGUGCAAGCGUUGUUCGGAAUUAUUGGGCGUAAAGGGCGCGUAGGCGGUGCGGUAAGUCUGUAGUGAAAUCUCUGGGCUCAACUCAGAGUCUGCUGCAGAAACUGCCGUGCUUGAGUGUGGGAGAGGUGAGUGGAAUUCCCGGUGUAGCGGUGAAAAUGCGUAGAUAUCGGGAGGAACACCUGUGGCGAAAGCGGCUCACUGGACCACAACUGACGCUGAGGCGCGAAAGCUAGGGGAGCAAACAGG